rnacentral:rRNA from 1 species
GAUGAACGCUGGCGGCGUGCCUAAUACAUGCAAGUCGAGCGAACAGAUGAGGAGCUUGCUCCUCUGACGUUAGCGGCGGACGGGUGAUUAACACGUGGUUAACCUACCUAUAAGACUGGGAUAACUUCGGGAAACCGGAGCUAAUACCGGAUAAUAUAUUGAACCGCAUGGUUCAAUCGUUAAAGACGGUUUUGCUUUCACUUAUAGAUGGAUCCGCGCCGCAUUAGCUAGUUGGUAAGGUAACGGCUUACCAAGGCAACGAUGCGUAGCCGACCUGAGAGGGUGAUCGGCCACACUGGAACUGAGACACGGUCCAGACUCCUACGGGAGGCAGCAGUAGGGAAUCUUCCGCAAUGGGCGAAAGCCUGACGGAGCAACGCCGCGUGAGUGAUGAAGGUCUUCGGAUCGUAAAACUCUGUUAUUAGGGAAGGACAAAUGUGUAAGUAACUAUGCACGUCUUGACGGUACCUAAUCAGAAAGCCACGGCUAACUACGUG